GAUGAACGCUAGCGGCAGGCUUAAUACAUGCAAGUCGAGGGGCAGCGCAGUGUAGCAAUACAUGGGCGGCGACCGGCAAACGGGUGCGGAACACGUACGCAACCUUCCUUUAACUGGGAGAUAGCCCACCGAAAGGUGGAUUAAUAUCCCAUAGUAUAUUUGGAGUGGCAUCACUUAGAUAUUAAAGCUCCGGCGGUUAAAGAUGGGCGUGCGUCUGAUUAGGUAGUUGGCGGGGUAACGGCCCACCAAGUCCACGAUCAGUAGCUGAUGUGAGAGCAUGAUCAGCCACACGGGCACUGAGACACGGGCCCNACUCCUACGGGAGGCAGCAGUAAGGAAUAUUGGUCAAUGGACGCAAGUCUGAACCAGCCAUGCCGCGUGGAGGAUGAAGGCCCUCUGGGUUGUAAACUUCUUUUCUUUGGGACCGAAACCCCUGUUCUACGGGGACUGACGGUACCAGGAGGAAUAAGCACCGGCUAACUCCGUGCCAGCAGCCGCGGU
rnacentral:rRNA from 1 species